CCGGGAAGGCCCUAGCCCUUACUAUGAGUGGCGACGGGUGAAUACACGUGAGUGACCUGCCUCUACGGGGGGGAUAACGUCCAAAAAGGGACACUAAUACCGCAUAACAUCCUGCUUUUGAAAAGGUGGAGAUCAAAGCUGGGGAUCGCAAGACCUGGCGUUUGAAGAGGGGCCCGCGCCUGAUUAGCUAGUUGGGGGGGUAACGGCCCACCAAGGCACCGAUCAGAUCCGGCCUGGAAGGGCGGACGGCACCCUGGAACUGAAACACGGCCCAGACUCCUACGGGGGGAAGCAUGGGGGAAUUGUUCCCAAGGGGCGCAAGCCUGACGACCCACCCCCCCGGGGAGGAUAAAGACCUUCGGUUUGUAAACUCCUUUCGACCGGAAAAAAAACUUUCCGCGUAAAAAAUCCGGGGGAGUGACGGCCCCGAAAGAAAAACCCCCGACUAACUCCGCGCCAACACCCGCAAAUAAUAAGA
rnacentral:rRNA from 1 species